UUUCGCGCUGUUAUGGCGCUGUGGUUUCCAUUUCCACACUUACUCUGUUUUGGCGCUGUCGUUUCCAUGUCUGCUCUUAUUGGCGUUGUUCUCGUGCUGUCGCUGUCCCGCUGCUGCGUUAUUCCGCUCUUGCUUGUACUCCUACUCUGCUGUUCUUACAUUCUUAGGUUGCUCUCGCUCUCACGUUCUAUCGCCGCUCUCAGUUCUUGCUCACUCUCGCAGUCUCAUUAUCGACAUGGCCCAAAAAACUGUCAAACCACGUUACAGAUCUACAACAAGUCUGAAGCAUCUAGUUGAAUUACAUGAUAAAUUGUCAAAUGAUGUUGUAGAGAGAAUAAAAGCAACCCCAUUCGGGUGGUUGUUAAAAUUAGAUAACAGCAGCUCCUAUCAGACAAGCAGCACUAUACUGGGGAUGUUGGUGCAAAGGUGGGAUAAAGACUCUCGCUCAUUUAACAUUAACAACAAUUCCAUAAUUCCAUCAAAUUUGUUGUUGAAGAUAUGGGGUUAAUUCUUGGGUUAAGGGUACAAGGAGAGAAUUUCAUGCCACUGACGUACAAAUUUUUGUUUAAUGCCACUGACGUACAAAUUUUUGUUUAAUGCCACUGACGUACAAGUUUUUAAAAUUUAUAUUAAGUUGUAUGUUUAUACUUUUUAGAUGAGGAAGAAGAAUAGAAGCGACAAAGAGGAGGAGCAAGAGAAGGAAAACAAAAAGGAGAAGAGCAUUAGGUAUUGGCACCAGCUGAAAUUGAUGACUAUUUGGCUGAGGUAGAAUAGUGUGCAAUGAAGAAAUGUAGUGUUCUUGAAGUUGUUGUUUGCUUCAAAGUUUAGUUUAAUUUGUAGAUCAAAACCGACUUUUUGAUGACAAUAGUGAAUUUGUAAGAUACUUGUUGAUACAGAUAGUACAUAAGAUAGUAUAUAUAGAGACUA